rnacentral:tRNA from 1 species
GGAUUUGUGGCUCAGUGGUAGAGCACUUGCCUGGCAUGUGUGAGGCCCUGAGUUCGAUCCCCAGCACCA